UCCUGGUUAGCUCAGUUGGUAAGGCGCUUCACUUGAAAUGGAGAGGUCGUUGGUACGAUACCAGGAU
rnacentral:tRNA from 1 species